rnacentral:rRNA from 1 species
GAUGAACGCUGGCGGCGUGCCUAAUACAUGCAAGUCGAGCGAACAGACGAGGAGCUUGCUCCUCUGACGUUAGCGGCGGACGGGUGAGUAACACGUGGAUAACCUACCUAUAAGACUGGGAUAACUUCGGGAAACCGGAGCUAAUACCGGAUAAUAUAUUGAACCGCAUGGUUCAAUAGUGAAAGACGGUUUUGCUGUCACUUAUAGAUGGAUCCGCGCCGCAUUAGCUAGUUGGUAAGGUAACGGCUUACCAAGGCGACGAUGCGUAGCCGACCUGAGAGGGUGAUCGGCCACACUGGAACUGAGACACGGUCCAGACUCCUACGGGAGGCAGCAGUAGGGAAUCUUCCGCAAUGGGCGAAAGCCUGACGGAGCAACGCCGCGUGAGUGAUGAAGGUCUUCGGAUCGUAAAGCUCUGUUAUUAGGAAAGAACAAAUGUGUAAGUAACUAUGCACGUCUUGACGGUACCUAAUCAGAAAGCCACGGCUAACUACGUG